GCGUUGGUGGUGCAACGGUUAGCAUACGCUCCCGGAGAGAGUGGGAUCUGGGUUAGAAUCACGGCUUACGAA